UACGGGGGGGGCAAGCGUUGUUCGGAAUUACUGGGCGUAAAGGGCGCGUAGGCGGCCUACUAAGUCGGAUGUGAAAUCCCUCGGCUCAACCGAGGAACUGCAUCCGAUACUGGCGGGCUUGAAUCCGGGAGAGGGAUGUGGAAUUCCAGGUGUAGCGGUGAAAUGCGCAGAUAUCAGGAGGAACACCGAUGGCGAAGGCAGGUCUCUGGGCAUUAACUGACGCUGAGGAACGAAAGCCAGGGUAGCGAACGGG
rnacentral:rRNA from 1 species